GGACGUGCAUAGCUUGAGAGGAAAAUUGGACUCAGUAGAAAAACAAUUAUUGUUGUCGCACGUGGAGCGUAAAAUAGAGAAAAAAGCCGAAAAUAAAAGCGUAGCAGAGUUUCAUCAGCAGGUGAAUUGCUCAAAAUCGUCAAAACUGGCCCUGGUGACGCUGAACAACGUGACGUACUAUUUUCAAUCUAGUCCGAUGAUGAAUUGGAAUUCAGCAAAGCAGUUUUGCGAAGAUCACGGCAUGUCGCUGGCUACGCCAAACUCGCAAACUGAGCUGACAGCGAUGCACAAACAUGCAAAAAGUCUGUCUGG